rnacentral:rRNA from 1 species
AUUGAACGCUGGCGGCAGGCCUAACACAUGCAAGUCGAGCGAGCGGCGGAGGGGUGAGUAAUGUAUGGGGAUCUGCCCGAGAGAGGGGGAUCACUACUGAAAACGGUGGCUAAUACCGCAUACUAUCGGGAGAACCCAUAUGGGAUUAGCUAGUAGGGGGGGUAAAGGCUCACCAAGGCGACGAUCUCUAGCUGGUCUGAGAGGAUGAUCAGCCACACUGGGACUGAGACACGGCCCAGACUCCUACGGGAGGCAGCAGUGGGGAAUAUUGCACAAUGGGCGCAAGCCUGAUGCAGCCAUGCCGCGUGUAUGAAGAAGGCCCUAGGGUUGUAAAGUACUUUCAGCGGGGAGGCGUUACCCGCAGAAGAAGCACCGGCUAACUCCGUGCCAGCAGCCGCGGUAAUUC